CAUCUAAGCGUGAAGCCCCCCUGAAGAAGAAGACUGCCACUGCUAAGAGCAGGUAAGACCCCUCAGAGACGAUGAGGUAGAUAGGUCAUCGGUGGAAGUGCGGCAACGCAUGGAGCUUGAUGAUACUAAUCGGUCGAGGGCUUGAUCUGAAAGA
rnacentral:rRNA from 1 species